GGUCCAAUGGUCUAGUGGCAAGAUACUUGCUUUGGGUUGAUUCUAACUACUUGCAAGGGAUCCCGGGUUCAAAUCCCGGUUGGACCC